rnacentral:rRNA from 1 species
UAGGCUUGACAUCCCAAGAAGAUAGUAGAGAUACUGUUGUGUCUGCUUGCAGAAACUUGGUGACAGGUGCUGCACGGCUGUCGUCAGCUCGUGUCGUGAGAUGUUGGGUUAAGUCCCGCAACGAGCGCAACCCCUAUCCUUAGUUGCUAACAGUUAGGCUGAGCACUUUAAGGAGACUGCCUGGGCAACCAGGAGGAAGGUGGGGACGACGUCAAGUCAUCAUGGCCCUUAUGCCUAGGGCGACACACGUGCUACAAUGGAUAGGAUAAAAAGAAGCGAUACGGUGACGUGGAGCAAAUCUCAAAACCUAUUCUCAGUUCGGAUUGUAGUCUGCAACUCGACUACAUGAAGUUGGAAUCGCUAGUAAUCGUGGAUCAGCCAUGCCACGGUGAAUACGUUCCGCGGGUCU